AGCCUUUAGCCCCCCCCCCACUAUUAAAGGUGAUGCCUGCCCAGUGACAUAUUAAACGGCCGCGGGAUCCUCCACCGUGCAAAGGUAGCAUAAUCACUUGUCCCCUAAAUAGAGACUCGUAUGAACGGCCCCAUGAAGAUUUUACUGUCUCUUGUAGUUUAUCCAUGAAACUGAUCUUUCAGUACAAAAGCUGAAAUAUACUCAUAAGACGAAAAGACCCUGUGGAACUUACAAACGACGGCCACCACAUGGCCCCGCCCGUUUUUAGUUGGGGCAACUAUGGAACAAAACAAAACUUCCACACACUAUGAUAGGCGGACACACCACUAUCCACCCCUUACUGACCCAGUACACUACUGAAUAAAGAACCAAGCUACCCCAGGGAUAACAGCGCCAUCCCCUCUUAGAGCCCCCAUCGAUGAGGGGGUUUACGACCUCGAUGUUGGAUCAGGGCCCCCAAACAGUGCAGCAGCUGUCAACGGUUUGUUUGUUCAACAAUUAAUGCCCU
rnacentral:rRNA from 1 species